rnacentral:rRNA from 1 species
UACGUAGGGCGCAAGCGUUGUCCGGAAUUAUUGGGCGUAAAGAGCUCGUAGGCGGUUUGUCGCGUCUGCUGUGAAAUCCUCAGGCUCAACCUGGGGCUUGCAGUGGUUACGGGCAGACUAGAGUGCGGUAGGGGUGACUGGAAUUCCUGGUGUAGCGGUGGAAUGCGCAGAUAUCAGGAGGAACACCGAUGGCGAAGGCAGGUCACUGGGCCGCAACUGACGCUGAGGAGCGAAAGAAUGGGGAGCGAACAGG